rnacentral:rRNA from 1 species
GUUUCAGCCGCCGCGGUAAAACGUAGGAGGCAAGCGUUAUCCGGAUUCACUGGGCGUAAAGCGCGUGCAGGCGGUUUGGUAAGUUGGGCGUGAAAUCUCCCGGCUCAACUGGGAGGGGUCGUUCAAUACUACCAGACUCGAGAGCGAUAGAGGAAAAUGGAAUUCCCGGUGUAGUGGUGAAAUGCGUAGAUAUCGGGAGGAACACCAGUGGCGAAAGCGAUUUUCUGGAUCGUUUCUGACGCUCAGACGCGAAAGCUAGGGUAGCAAACGGGAUUAGAAACCCUAGUAGUCC